ensembl:lncRNA
UUGAACCACAGGGUGGAGUUGGAGACCACAGACCCAGAGAUGGAGCGAGGCACUGCGGAUGAAUGGAAACAUCCCUGAGAUGACCUUCUCCUGUCGUUGUUUGAAUGUUUUUAAAUAGGACUCUUUCAUUUUAGGACACAAAAGCCAAAGACUUUAAUUUUAUUUUUCAGCUGAAAAUGAAAAUCUAAGGGUGUCUAUAGUGUAAUAACAAUGGAUUUGUUUCUUCAUCUGCUUUCUCCCCCCCUGUACAAUCUUAAACCUGGUCAUACGAAGUGAUGAAUAACAUGUUUAAAUGAAGCAGGCGGAUGAUUUUAAACUUUCCUUUGAGGUAAAUAUCACUUGGAAGAGAACUUUAUCAAUCUCAUGCCAAUUAAGUCUUUUUGUUUAUCGUCAGGACUUUGUUUACAGGCCAAAUUUCCCUGAGUUAGAUCAAAAGAUUUUGCUUUUUGUCAAACUGCAGUGCCCACCUGACUUUUUGUUUUGUUUUUGCAAACUUGUUUUGAAAUGGCGAAUUAAGUGGCUAUGACAUUCUUAUCACAGGUACAGCACUACCUCAGAUCUUCAUAUGGGCAUGUGGCUAACCAUGUACAGCCGCCCCAUAGAAAACCCUGAGGUACUUUCUAAGCUAUUUUAAUCAUAGGAAUGUCAACUGUGCAGACUCUAUGCUGUGUUCUCAUAAAAUUUAAAAAAAAAAGGGAAAGGCUGUGUAAUUCCUUAAGAUGAUUGAUUCACACAAAAAAGGAAGAAACUUAUUUUUGCGUCAGAAUGUGAUUAAAUGGGGUCCCUUUAUACUGUGGAAAAGCUAAACCAUGCAUUAUCUACAUCUAUUUUACAACCAAAAAAGAAAAAAUGCUGAAAUAUUUUCACACUUUUAUAGCUUUGCGACCUUUAUACGAUGUUUACGGCGUUGAUGUUUGCUGCAAUGAGAGGAAUAGAGGAACACAGUAGGCCUUAUAGUGGAUAUGUAUAUGUCAGCUGACACUAUUCUCAAGGUUGUUUCUAUUACAGUUAGACUCACAAAAUACAAAACUAUAGUAGGACACGUUUUCCUUUUGUUUUCUUGGCAUUGACAGAUUUUGGUUGUUAUGCAGUACAAGCAGGGUGCGAUUUGUUGAGAGUAAAAAUGCAGGCUUAGAUUUUGUGGAAUCUGGGACACUCUUUCUUUUUUUUUUUUUUUUUUUUUUUUUUUUUAAAUAAAUCUUGAAUUGAUGGGAAAAUGUUAACAUGUUCACAAACUGCCCGAAUCAGAGAGAGCUUCACAUAUUUUCUAACUAUAGCGUACUUUUUAUCCAGCACCUUGGAGGCAGUGGGACAAUUUUUGAACUUCUGCAAAUCUCUAAGAUGAAAAUAUUGUUUGAGCUUGUUAAUGGAAGCGCAGUCUAACUGCAUUCUCUGAAAGCAGCACUCUAACCCUGGGAAUUCCACAGUGUGUGUGUGUGUGUGUGUGUGUGUGUGUGUCCCAAAUCGCACCCUGGGUAUAACCCAAGUCUUAACGGAAAAGUGGCAUAAAUGUAUCGCAGGCUUCUGGAGAGCUCGUUUUUGCUGUUAUAAUUGAUAUAUACAAAUAUGCUUGUUACUGUAUUUGAAGAUACUCCGCUAUAUCAGCCUACUUUUUUUUUUUUUUUUUUUUUUUGUACAAACCAGCCAUUAUGUUUAAAGGGUAUGGAUUUAUAUCUCCUUUUCCCUCUUUAUAUAUGGAUAAAUUAUUUAGUUGCCUGUGUUUAAGUGUAACGGUUUGUGUAAACUGUACAUAUUCAAGUUUAUUUCCAUGUAUUUGUACAGAAUGUCUUUUAAAAAAUUGUCUCC